rnacentral:snRNA from 1 species
GAAUGUGAGGGCAAUCUGGAUGUAACAUGUUACCCCAUUGAUGGCCAGGGUUGAUUCAGCUGUAUGGCUGGUAGGCAGGUGUCCCCUUCCUCCCUCACUGCUCCAGGCGCGACCCUCCCUAAGCUUCGAGCACAGUUAAAGAGGAUGACCACUGUUUCCUUGGUCAAGGGUUUACAAGUAGCUGUGCUCCCCUGCUAGAACCUCCAAACAAGCUCUCAAGAUUUAAAAACUAAAAGGAGAAUGGGAGUUGGGAUAUAGCUCAGUGCAAAGGCCCAAGAUUU